CCUACGGGUGGCAGCAGUGGGGAAUAUUGGGCAAUGGGCGCAAGCCUGACCCAGCAACGCCGCGUUAAGGACGACGUCUUUCGGGUUGUAAACUUCUUUUGUCAGGGAAGAGUAGAAGACGGUCCCUGACGAAUAAGCCACGGCUAACUACGUGCCAUCAGCCGCGGUAAUACGUAGGUGGCAGGCGUUGUCCGUAUUUACUGGGUGGAAAGGGCGUGUAGCCGGGUUGACAAGUCAGAUGUGAAAUCCUGCGGCUUAACCGCAGAACUGCAUUUGAAACUGUUGAUCUGGAGUACUGGAGAGGCAGACGGAAUUCCUAGUGUAGCGGUGAAAUGCGUAGAUAUUAGGAGGAACACCAGUGGCGAAGGCGGUCUGCUGGACAGCAACUGACGGUGAGGCGCGAAAGCGUGGGGAGCAAACAGGAUUAGAUACCCUUGUAGUC
rnacentral:rRNA from 1 species